rnacentral:rRNA from 2 species
GUACUAACAGGAUUCCCCUAGUAACUGCGAGUGAAGCGGGAAGAGCUCAAAUUUAAAAUCUGGCGGUCCUUGCGGCCGUCCGAGUUGUAAUCUGGAGAAGUGCUUUCCGCGCUGGACCGUGUACAAGUCUCUUGGAACAGAGCGUCGUAGAGGGUGAGAAUCCCGUCUUUGACACGGACUACCAGUGCUUUGUGAUGCGCUCUCGACGAGUCGAGUUGUUUGGGAAUGCAGCUCAAAACGGGUGGUAAAUUCCAUCUAAAGCUAAAUAUUGGCGAGAGACCGAUAGCGAACAAGUACCGUGAGGGAAAGAUGAAAAGAACUUUGGAAAGAGAGUUAAACAGUACGUGAAAUUGCUGAAAGGGAAACGCUUGAAGUCAGUCGCGUCGGCCGGGACUCAGCCUUGCUUCUGCCUGGUUUACUUUCCGGUCGACGGGUCAGCAUCAGUUUUGGUCGUCGGAAAAUGGCAGGGGGAACGUGGCAUCUUCGGAUGUGUUAUAGCCCUCGGUCGCAUACGAUGGUUGGGACUGAGGAUCUCAGCACACCUCUAUGGUCGGGGUUCGCCCACGUUUGUGCUUAGGAUGCUGGCAUAAUGGCUUUAAACGACCCGUCUUGAAACACGGACCAAGGAGUCUAACAUGCGUGCGAGUGUUUGGGUGGAAAACCCGAGCGCGUAAUGAAAGUGAAAGUUGAGACCUCUGUCGCGGAGGGCAUCGACGCCCGGACCAGAACUUCUGUGACGGAUCUGCGGUAGAGCAUGUAUGUUGGGACCCGAAAGAUGGUGAACUAUGCCUGAAUAGGGUGAAGCCAGAGGAAACUCUGGUGGAGGCUCGUAGCGAUUCUGACGUGCAAAUCGAUCGUCAAAUUUGGGUAUAGGGGCGAAAGACUAAUCGAACCAUCUAGUA